GGAAUUGAAACUACAAGGUCAAAAAUGGUUGAAGUGCCAAACUACAGAGACCAAAAGUGACUUUUAGCCAAAAUAUUAAGUACUCAUACGUUUAUAAACUCCGCCGCUAUACUCUAAGAAAAGGGCUACUAAAAUUGAAAGAUUCUAACCCUAAAGGAAAAAUGAUCAUCGCGUAUUUGAAAUUAAAUAAUUAAAUGCAAAAAUUUGCGAUGGGUCGUUACAUGUUGGUAAUUUCCCACACCUUAAAAAAUUUGAAAUUCAGUCAUAUAAUGAUUAUCAAAGAAUUUUG
rnacentral:lncRNA from 1 species